UGGGGUACUUGGGGCCUGCUUAAACAUGCAGUCGAACGAUGAAGACCGUGCUUGCACGGUUGGAUUAGUGGCGAACGGGUGAGUAUCACGUGAGUAACCUUCCCUUAACUCUGGGAUAAGCCCGGGAAACUGGGUCUAAUACCGGAUACGACCAGUCCUCGCAUGGGGUGCUGGUGGAAAGAUUUAUCGGUUUUGGAUGGACUCGCGGCCUAUCAGCUUGUUGGUGAGGUAAAGGCUCACCAAGGCGAUGACGGGUAGCCGGCCUGAGAGGGUGACCGGCCACACUGGGACUGAGACACGGCCCAGACUCCUACGGGAGGCAGCAGUGGGGAAUAUUGCACAAUGGGCGAAAGCCUGAUGCAGCGACGCCGCGUGCGGGAUGACGGCCUUCGGGUUGUAAACCGCUUUCAGCAGGGAAGAAGCGAAAGUGACGGUACCUGCAGAAGAAGCGCCGGCUAACUACGUGCCAGCAGCCGCGGUAAUACGUAGGGCGCGAGCGUUAUCCGGAAUUAUUGGGCGUAAAGAGCUCGUAGGCGGUUUGUCACGUCUGCUGUGAAAGCCCGGGGCUCAACCCCGGGUGUGCAGUGGGUACGGGCAGACUAGAGUGCAGUAGGGGAGACUGGAAUUCCUGGUGUAGCGGUGAAAUGCGCAGAUAUCAGGAGGAACACCGAUGGCGAAGGCAGGUCUCUGGGCUGUUACUGACGCUGAGGAGCGAAAGCAUGGGGGAGCGAACAGGAUUAGAUACCCUGGUAGUCCAUGCCGUAAACGUUGGGCACUAGGUGUGGGGGACAUUCCACGUUUUCCCGCGCCGUAGCUAACGCAUUAAGUGCCCCGCCUGGGGAGUACGGCCGCAAGGCUAAAACUCAAAGGGAAUUGACGGGGGCCCGCACAAGCGGCGGAGCAUGCGGGAUUAAUUUCGAUGCACGCGAAGAACCUUACCAAGGCUUGACAUGGACCGGACCGCUGCAGAGAUGCAGUUUUCCCUUCGGGGUCGGUUCACAGGUGGUUGCAU
rnacentral:rRNA from 1 species